CAGUAAACGGUGCGCGUUUGGUGUGGGGGGAUUCGACAAUCUCCGCGCCGGAGCUAACGCGUUAAACGCGCCGCCUGGGAAAUACGGUCGCAAGAUUAAAACUCAAAGAAAUUGACGGGGGCCCGCACAAGCGGUGGAGUAUGUGGCUUAAUUCGAUGCAACGCGAAGAACCUUACCUGGGCUUGACAUGCAUCGCUAAGGUGGUGAAAGCCGCCGAGGGUAGCAAUACCUACUUUGCACAGGUGCUGCAUGGCUGUCGUCAGCUCGUGUCGUGAGAUGUUGGGUUAAGUCCCGCAACGAGCGCAACCCUUAUGAACUGUUGCAGCGACGCAAGUCGCGCUCUCUGUUCAGACCGCCCUGUGAAACGGGGAGGAAGGUGGGGAUGACGUCAAGUCAGCAUGGCCCUUACGCCCAGGGCUGCACACGUACUACAAUGCCCAGUACAGAGGGAGCCGAGCCGGCGACGGUAAGGAAAUCCCAAAAAACUGGGCUCAGUUCAGAUUGCAGGCUGCAACUCGCCUGCAUGAAGCUGGAAUCGCUAGUAAUCCCGUAUCAGCUACGACGGCGUGAAUACGUUCCCGGGCCUUGUACACACCGCCCGUCACAUCAUGGAAGUCGCCCGCUCCCGAACUGCAUUCGUGAUUUAUUACGAAGUCCUAAGGAGCGGGUGGUAACUGGGAUGAAGUCGUAAC
rnacentral:rRNA from 1 species